GACGAACCGUGCGAACGUUGUUCGGAAUCACUGGGCUUAAAGGGCGCGUAGGCGGGCCGGCAAGUCAGGGGUGAAAUCUUCCAGCUCAACUGGAAAAGGGCCUUUGAUACUGUCGGCCUCGAGGGAGGUAGGGGCAUGCGGAACUUCCGGUGGAGCGGUGAAAUGCGUGAGAUAUCGGAAGGAACGCCGGUGGCGAAAGCGGCGUGCUGGACCUCUUCUGACGCUGAGGCGCGAAAGC
rnacentral:rRNA from 1 species